rnacentral:rRNA from 1 species
AGAGUUUGAUCAUGGCUCAGGAUGAACGCUGGCGGCGUGCCUAACACAUGCAAGUCGAGCGAUUCUCUUCGGAGAAGAGCGGCGGACGGGUGAGUAACGCGUGGGUAACCUGCCUCAUACACAUGGAUAACAUACCGAAAGGUAUGCUAAUACAAGAUAAUAUAAGAGAUUCGCAUGGAUUUCUUAUCAAAGCUCCGGUGGUAUGAGAUGGACCCGCGUCUGAUUAGCUAGUUGGUAAGGUAACGGCUUACCAAGGCGACGAUCAGUAGCCGACCUGAGAGGGUGAUCGGCCACAUUGGAACUGAGACACGGUCCAAACUCCUACGGGAGGCAGCAGUGGGGAAUAUUGCACAAUGGGCGAAAGCCUGAUGCAGCAACGCCGCGUGAGCGAUGAAGGCCUUCGGGUCGUAAAGCUCUGUCCUCAAGGAAGAUAAUGACGGUACUUGAGGAGGAAGCCCCGGCUAACUACGUGCCAGCAGCCGCGGUAAUACGUAGGGGGCUAGCGUUAUCCGGAUUUACUGGGCGUAAAGGGUGCGUAGGUGGUUUCUUAAGUCAGGAGUGAAAGGCUACGGCUCAACCGUAGUAAGCUCUUGAAACUGGGAAACUUGAGUGCAGGAGAGGAAAGUGGAAUUCCUAGUGUAGCGGUGAAAUGCGUAGAUAUUAGGAGGAACACCAGUAGCGAAGGCGGCUUUCUGGACUGUAACUGACACUGAGGCACGAAAGCGUGGGGAGCAAACAGGAUUAGAUACCCUGGUAGUCCACGCCGUAAACGAUGAGUACUAGGUGUCGGGGGUUACCCCCCUCGGUGCCGCAGCUAACGCAUUAAGUACUCCGCCUGGGGAGUACGCUCGCAAGAGUGAAACUCAAAGGAAUUGACGG